AAGCCCAACCAAUCACCCCCUAGAUUCUCAAGCUAUGAUAUUUUCCUAAACUAACGGCCUAUAUUUUCUAACUAAAUUUAAUAGGAAUAUCCUAAACCCUCAGCCUCCCUUUGCGUUUCCUAUAUAUAUUGGCCAUCUAGCCUCAAAGCAAACACGCUGUUUUCUAUUCUUUUUCAUAUAAUGUCUUCCAAGCAAAAAACUGUUUACCUUGAUGAUAUUAAACCAUAGAAAACGGUGUGGCUUAUCCAAGCGCCAAAGUGGUGCAUACCUGGAAACCAUCCAAUCUCAGGUUUGGUGAGACUUAAGAAAUAAUAUUUGUAGACAAAAAGGGAUAAAGAUUCAAGCUACAUGUAGGAAGAACUAUUUGAAGUCUUUGGGUGAUGAAUGCAAUGUUGGCUAAUGGAAGACUCUAUUUAUUUUAUGGCAUAGAUUAAUUUAUUUUAUUAAUAUAUAAAUAUUAAAUUAACUUUUUUGAUUUAUAUCAACUAUUUAACUAUUAUACAAAGUAACUGUUAAAUAAUAAAAUCUUGGGAUAAUUAAGAUAAGAAAUACUUUUUAUCUAGAAAAUAAGAAUAUUUUUUUAAAAAAAAUUAUUAUAUUUUACAUAUUUAAAAUAAUUAUAUAUUGUUUAAGUUUCUACAAUUUUAACAAACGUUAAUUGUAUAGAUUGUAUACCAUUUGAGUAGUUGUGACCAUAUUUGUUUGUACGGCUUAAACUUUCAAUAAAAAAGGCAUUGUAACAUGUUUCCAGCUCA